rnacentral:rRNA from 1 species
GAUGAACGCUAGCGGCAGGCCUAAUACAUGCAAGUCAAGGGGCCAGCAAUGGCACCGGCGCACGGGUGCGUAACACGUACACAACAUACCUUUAAGUGGGAGAUAGCAUCGGGAAACUGGUGGUAAUACCCCAUAAUAUUGCGAUGCGGCAUCACAUUGCAAUUAAAGUUUCGACGCUUAAAGAUUGGUGUGCGUCCGAUUAGCUAGUUGGCGGGGUAACGCCCACCAAGGCUACGAUCGGUAGGGGUGUGAGAGCAUGACCCCCCACAUGGGUACUGAGACACGGACCCAACUCCUACGGGAGGCAGCAGUAAGGAAUAUUGGACAAUGGACGAAAGUCUGAUCCAGCCAUGCCGCGUGCAGGAUGAAGGCGCUCAGCGUUGUAAACUGCUUUUGGAUGGGAAUAAUAACCUCGACGUGUCGGGGCUUGAAGGUACCAUCAGAAUAAGCACCGGCUAACUCCGUGCCAAGCAGCCGCGGUAAAGUGUG